rnacentral:rRNA from 1 species
CCUACGGGUGGCAGCAGUGGGGAAUAUUGGGCAAUGGAGGCAACUCUGACCCAGCAACGCCGCGUGAAUGAUGAAGGUCUUCGGAUUGUAAAGUUCUUUUCUAAGGGAAGAAGAAAGUGACGGUACCUUAGGAAUAAGCCUCGGCUAACUACGUGGCAGCAGCCGCGGUAAUACGUAGGAGGCAAGCGUUAACCGGCAUGACUGGGCGUAAAGGGGGCGUAGGUGGUAUGAAAAGUUAGUAGCGAAACUCCGGAGCUCAACGUCGGAACUACUACUAAAACUGGUGGACUUGAGUGCAUGAGGGGCAAUCGGAAUUCCGGGUGUAGCGGUGGAAUGCGUAGAUAUUAGGAGGAACACCAGUGGCGAAGGCGGAUUGCUAGCAUGUAACUGACGCUGAGGAACGAAAGCGUGGGGAGCAAACAGGAUUAGAUACCCUAGUAGUC